rnacentral:tRNA from 1 species
UCCGGGGUCGUCUAAAGGCAGGACAGAAGCCUUUGAAGCUUCUUAUUUUGGUUCGAGUCCAAACCCCGGAA